AUGGCGGAGGCGGAGGAGUGGGAGAGGCGGAAGAGGGGGAGGAGGAGGCGGUGGCGGCGGGGCAGGAGGGAGAGCGACGGCAGCGACCCCGUGGAGGUGCUGGGGCAGGAGGUGAUGGGGCUGGUGGUGGAGCUCCUGGACGCGCGCAGCGUCGCACGAUGCACGGCGGUCUCCCGCGCCUGGUUCGGGGUCGCCGCCGACAACCGCCUCUGGGCACCCAAGUGUGCUGAACUGAUGGCCGGAAAGGCACAUAUUCCUCGUCUGACAAUGAUCCGUACUGCAUCAAAGUUGUCUACCUAUUCAAUGGCCAUCAUGGAUGGCAAACGGAAUCGGAUCACAAAAGAGGAUCUCUGUGAUCAUGCAUGGGAAUAUCGUUUCACUAUUGCAGCACCAGAGUACUGGAGGAAUCUCGAUCCGUCCUGGAAGCGCACUGGUCCACCCAUGCGACGAUACUUCCACCAUGAUGGUUACCACAGUGCAGAUCCUCAUGACGCUGUCUGGGGUGGCCAUGAGUGUGAGUACACGAUCAUAACAAGCUUUGUCGGUGAUGGAAGAAUCAGAGAUCAUUAUGUGAGGAUCAACCGGUGGCCACCGAUGAAAGUAUCGAGAAAGGAAGAUUGGAGCUGGGAGCUAUCCAACCACCUCUACCGCUACAACAGCAUCCCUGAUGCUGAAAAGGAAGGAUGUACAGGUCCGCUCUUCCCGGUUUGGUGA
rnacentral:rRNA from 1 species